UCUUCUUUGUAGUUGUGAAGCCGACACUCAUGUCUAGGGUUCAUCGCCUACUGCGUUUUCCAUCAACGGAGGUCCUGAGUCUUUAAUGGAGGUUUAUCACUUUCGUCAGUAAUCGUUGCGUUUAUGUUGGUUCGCGUCGUUUCGUUAUCUAUUCUUCUCCUCACAUGAGUUACAAGUUGCAUUGAUUCAACUUCAUUAACGAGAUCUUAACUCUUACCACCAUCUGCAACCAAGAUCAUUCAUUCAAUGAUUCGUAUCUCUCUUCCAAUCGGUGGAUCUCCACCUAUAAAAAGGGAAGGCCUCAUCCCUUGGGAAUCAUCCUCACAAUUCCAAUAGCAUUCGAUAUUUUUUCAAUAUCAUGGUUAACUCCUCUGUUCUAUUUUCUAAUUUGAAAUCCGGCCAUUAAUUGUUUCUUCCAACGUGGGGGUGAGGUUGCUCAGAUUCUGGGAAACUAGGAACUUCAAACGAUGUGGCUCUUUUCAGCUAGCAUUACUCGCCUCAACAGCUUAAACAAGAGAACCCGUGAUGUGAUCGCUUCAAUUUUUGUUCAAGCUACCCUUGCACCAUUCUGCAACACCUUGUCAUGAUGCGUUGGGUCAGUAAACACUUCUGAAUCUCUUGCUUCGAAAUACAACCUUUAUGACCAAGCAGAGAAGUUGAGAUCAAAAGUACCAAGAUUAGAAGCACGUUCUAACCAACAUGUUUAUCUUUUAGUAGUUAUUCUUUCAUACCAAUUGGUUAUUGUAGCUUUCUAGAUUAUAGUUUAUAUUAUUUCUCUGAUCUCUCACUUAUGCUAGCCUUUCCACAGUCAAUUGGAAAGUAAAUAAUAUU